rnacentral:lncRNA from 1 species
GAGCCACAUCCCCAGCUCAUGAGCUGUUGUUUCUAAACUAAGCUGUCAGUAUUCAGGUUCAACUACAGUGUUGGCACUUUGCGAUAUAGGGGCCACCAGGACACAUCACACUUAGCUAUCACAUCUCCUGAGGCUCUGCUGAGCCUUCGACAGGUUCUCAGAUGCUCCUGGCUUCUGAGGAACAUGGUACUUUGUGGAGCAGGCACAGAGGUCAGAAGCACACACUGCUCCACUGUCACCUGCCUGUGGAGUGCCCAUCGGGUC